rnacentral:rRNA from 1 species
GACGUAGGGCGCGAGCGUUGUCCGGAUUUAUUGGGCGUAAAGAGCUCGUAGGCGGCUUGUCGCGUCGACUGUGAAAACCCGCGGCUCAACCGCGGGCCUGCAGCCGAUACGGGCAGGCUAGAGUUCGGUAGGGGAGACUGGAAUUCCUGGUGUAGCGGUGAAAUGCGCAGAUAUCAGGAGGAACACCGAUGGCGAAGGCAGCUCGCUGGGACGUGACUGACGCUGAGACGCGAAAGCGUGGGGAGCAAACAGG